UACGUAGGGUGCGAGCGUUAAUCGGAAUUACUGGGCGUAAAGCGUGCGUAGGCGGUUUUGUAAGUCAGGUGUGAAAUCACCGGGCUCAACCUGGGAAUGGCAUUUGGGACUGCAAGGCUGGAGUGCGGCAGAGGAGACUGGAAUUCCUGGUGUAGCAGUGAAAUGCGUAGAUAUCAGGAGGAACACCGAUGGCGAAGGCAGGUCUCUGGGCUGACACUGACGCUCAUGCACGAAAGCGUGGGGAGCAAACAGG
rnacentral:rRNA from 1 species